AUUGAACGCUGGCGGCAGGCCUAACACAUGCAAGUCGAGCGAGCGGCGGACGGGUGAGUAAUGUCUGGGAAACUGCCUGAUGGAGGGGGAUAACUACUGGAAACGGUAGCUAAUAUCGCAUACCCUCCGAUGUGCCCAGCUGUGAUUAGCUAGUAGGUGGGGUAACAGCUCACCUAGGCGACGAUCCCUAGCUGGUCUGAGAGGAUGACCAUCCAGACUGGAACUGAGGCACGGCCCAGACUCCGACGGGAGGCAGCAGUGGGGAAUAUUGCACAAUGGGCGCAAGCCUGAUGCAGCCAUGCCGCGUGGUUGAAGAAGGCCUUCGGGUGGUAAAGCACUUUCAGCGGAGAGGAGUUACCCGAAGAAGAAGCACCGGCUAACUACGUGCCAGCAGCCGCGGUAAUAG
rnacentral:rRNA from 1 species